CGAACGCUGGCGGCGUGCCUAACACAUGCAAGUCGAGCGAGAACGCCUCCUUCGGGAGGUUAGUAAAGCGGCGAACGGGUGAGUAACACGUGAGCGAUCUACCCGACGGCGGGGGAUAACCCAGGGAAACCUGAGCUAAUACCGCAUACAGCACCGGCUUGGAAGCCGGAUGUGAAAGCUGGCCUCUCGAAGAAGCUGGCACCAUCGGAUGAGCUCGCGGCCUAUCAGCUAGUUGGUGGGGUAACGGCCUACCAAGGCGAUGACGGGUAGCUGGCGUGAGAGCGUGGCCAGCCACACUGGGACUGAGACACGGCCCAGACUCCUACGGGAGGCAGCAGUGGGGAAUAUUGCGCAAUGGGCGAAAGCCUGACGCAGCGACGCCGCGUGGGGGAGGAAGGCCUCAGGGUCGUAAACCCCUGUCAGGUGGGACGAACCACCGAUCGGUUAAUACCCGGUCAGUCUGACGGUACCACCAGAGGAAGCUCCGGCUAACUCC
rnacentral:rRNA from 1 species